rnacentral:rRNA from 1 species
AACGCUAGCUACAGGCUUAACACAUGCAAGUCGAGGGGCAGCAUGGUCUUAGCUUGCUAAGGCCGAUGGCGACCGGCGCACGGGUGAGUAACACGUAUCCAACCUGCCGUCUACUCUUGGACAGCCUUCUGAAAGGAAGAUUAAUACAAGAUGGCAUCAUGAGUCCGCAUGUUCACAUGAUUAAAGGUAUUCCGGUAGACGAUGGGGAUGCAUUCCAUUAGAUAGUAGGCGGGGUAACGGCCCACCUAGUCUUCGAUGGAUAGGGGUUCUGAGAGGAAGGUCCCCCACAUUGGAACUGAGACACGGUCCAAACUCCUACGGGAGGCAGCAGUGAGGAAUAUUGGUCAAUGGGCGAGAGCCUGAACCAGCCAAGUAGCGUGAAGGAUGACUGCCCUAUGGGUUGUAAACUUCUUUUAUAAAGGAAUAAAGUCGGGUAUGGAUACCCGUUUGCAUGUACUUUAUGAAUAAGGAUCGGCUAACUCCGUGCCAGCAGCCGCGGUAAUACGGAGGAUCCGAGCGUUAUCCGGAUUUAUUGGGUUUAAAGGGAGCGUAGAUGGAUGUUUAAGUCAGUUGUGAAAGUUUGCGGCUCAACCGUAAAAUUGCAGUUGAUACUGGAUAUCUUGAGUGCAGUUGAGGCAGGCGGAAUUCGUGGUGUAGCGGUGAAAUGCUUAGAUAUCACGAAGAACUCCGAUUG